UCCACCGAUUGACUAAGGUUUCCAGAGGAAGGCUCGUCCGCUCUGGGUUAGUCGGGUCCUAAGCUGAGGCCGACAGGCGUAGGCGAUGGAUAACAGGUUGAUAUUCCUGUACCACCUAUAAUCGUUUUAAUCGAUGGGGGGACGCAGUAGGAUAGGCGAAGCGUGCGAUUGGAUUGCACGUCUAAGCAGUAAGGCUGAGUAUUAGGCAAAUCCGGUACUCGUUAAGGCUGAGCUGUGAUGGGGAGAAGACAUUGUGUCUUCGAGUCGUUGAUUUCACACUGCCGAGAAAAGCCUCUAGAUAGAAAAUAGGUGCCCGUACCGCAAACCGACACAGGUAGUCAAGAUGAGAAUUCUAAGGUGAGCGAGCGAACUCUCGUUAAGGAACUCGGCAAAAUGACCCCGUAACUUCGGGAGAAGGGGUGCUCUUUAGGGUUAACGCCCAGAAGAGCCGCAGUGAAUAGGCCCAAGCGACUGUUUAUCAAAAACACAGGUCUCUGCUAAACCGUAAGGUGAUGUAUAGGGGCUGACGCCUGCCCGGUGCUGGAAGGUUAAGAGGAGUGGUUA
rnacentral:rRNA from 1 species